GGUUACAACACAGGACAUGGGA
rnacentral:miRNA from 14 species